GGCGGGGGUGGGGUGCAAUCCGGCUCCAUCGUGUGUGUGUGUGUGUGUGUGUGUGUGUGUGUGUGUGUGUGUGUGUGUGUGUGUGUGUGUGUGUGUGUUGCAGCCUGCUGAACGCCGGGUGUGUGCGCGAGGGACACGGUCGUGCUGGCCGGGGGGCGCGGUACAGGUGGUGUGUCCCCGUUACAGCUGUGCGGGUGCAGUGUGAUGGGGAGUGAGGGGAGGCCGCGCUGGGGGUGUAUCGCGUGUGCUUGUGUGUGGUUGUGGUUGUGUAACCAUCCGAGAUGCCGCAGUCACCGAGGGGCGCACGCGUGCGAGGAGUGCGUGUUCAGGGGGACCCCAAGCCCGGCCUCUGGGGGGUGCGGAGACUGGUGUGUGUGAUUGUGUAGCGUUUGUUGUUGCGUAACUGCGUUGUGCAUCUGCGCGCGCCUUUGCAUCGGAGCUGUGCGUGCGUUGGGGAUCCUGAGUGUGUCCCCGGGGUGCUGUAGAGAGUGAUGCGUGUGCGCGUGCAUUGUGCUGUGUUGGUGUGUGUGGUUGUGUAGCUGCCUCUUGCGGCCGUCUGAGCCCCUGCAGGCACUCAAGGUGGGCAUCAGGAUUGUGUAUUUGUGCGGCACCCUGAGUUUGGUCUUGUGGGUGCUGCAGAGACUAUGAUGUGCGUGUUGCGUUGUAUUGUGCUGUGUGUAUGUGUGGUGCUGUAGCUGUUUCUUUCAGCCGUCCGAGGUCCCGCAGUGGUCGGGGUUGUGUGUUUGAGCGAGGUCCUGUGCAGAGAGGGGGUUGGUGGUUGUGGUUGUGGUUGUGGUUGUGGUUGUGGCUAUGGUUAUGUAGCAGACUGGCAGCUUUGCAGCCCCUGCAAUGUCAAAGGUUGUAUGUUCAUAGGAGAUCCUAAUCCCCCCUUCUGGGAUCUGGUAACGGUUGUGGUGUGUGUAACUGUGUAGCUGCCCCUUGCAGCCAUCAGAGCCCCUGCGGUGGCCAGGGUGUGUGCAUCAGGAUUGUGUGUGGGUUUUUUUUGUUUUGUUUUGUUUGGGUUUUUUUUUUAGGGGAGGACCUUAAGCCUGACUGGUGGGAAGCUGCAGAGACCAUGGGGGAAGGGGGGCGAGGGCGUAUGUGCAUGCACGCAUCAGGACUGUAUGCGUUGUGAGGAGUACAAGCCUCUGGGGUGCUGCAGAGGGCAAGCUCCAGGCGUGUUGUUUUUUAUCGUCAUCAUUUUAUUAACAGACUUGUUUAAAGAUGUGGGUGGCGGGGGUUGUCUGUUGUAAGUUGUUUCUGGCUUUGCAUGUAUAAGUUGAUAGUGCCCAGGUUGUGUUGGGAGGGGAAGAAGGGGUGUGGGUGGGUGAUUUGUGUAAGGGGAGGUGCGUGUGUUAUGCAAGUUGUGGUGUUGUGCCUGGGUUGUGUCAGCAGGAGAAGUGUCUUGUUUUGUAUUUGGCUCUGCAUAUGUAAGUUGCGCCCUCAAGGAAAGAGGGGUGCAUGUGUGUUGCAUGCAAGUUGUGGCUGUGCGUACAUUGUCAGCAGGGGAAGGGUGUGUGUGUCUUAGGUGUAAAGGUGUGGUUGUGCCCAGGUUGUGUAGGCAGGGGACAAGUGUGUGUAUGUGUGUGUCAUGGGCUGUUGCAUCUUUCACUCCAUGUGGGUGUGGGUGUCAUGCCAGUUGUGGUUGUGUAAGCAGGCAAAGGGUAGGUGUGUGUGCACCUGCAGACAGCUCCACACUGGAGCAUGCAGUUCAGGGCUCACACUUGAGCAGCUAGGUGUGAGGGGCACCAUACGUUUCCUGCUGCCCCGCUCUUCUUUUCCCCCCCCAUCUGCCCCCACGGCCAGUGCUGCCCCGUGCGCUUGCCAGGGGCCGGGGGCAAAAUGACGGGGGUGCCUACGGCCAGGGCCACCUCCCUUGGUGACCCUGGUAUACAACAGCCCCCCACAGCUCCCUUCUGACCUGCAACCCCCUGCUCCCUUUGGUGCCCCUCGCUUCUGAUCCGCAACCCCCAGCCCCUUCCUCUUCCUUUCAUUCCAGACAGAUUAAUGCCGCGUCUCUUCCUCUCCAAAUGUCCAGAGGCUUCCUGCUUUCCUUCCCCCCUUCGCAAAAUCCUUCUGCCGCCUCCAGGCUCCCUGGAUGCAGCAACCAGGAAUCAGAAGAAUGGCUGGAAGAAGAUGCAAUGCUGGGUGCAGACACUACAGGCACCCUUGUCCUGCAUCUUGCCCAGGCUAGGAAUAUGGCUGCUAUAGCAGCUGUGGCCACCUGGGGCGUCCUUGCUUCCUGCCAUUGAAGAAUGGGGAUGAGGGGUGGGUGUCCUCCUAGGCCCAGCCACGAGGGGGUGCUGUGGCUCCCAGCUGGGUACCUGGGGUGUAGGAUCAGCCAGGAGGUCCACUGCGGUUGCGACUCAGAUGCUGGGGCUACAGCAGGCUGCAGGGCUGGCGACCUCUGCUCACAGUUCUGGACACCCAGAGAGCCUGAGCCAGGAUGCUCUGGGGUUCAGCCUCACAGGACACCUGGGUUUUGUUUCUGCCACUGACACCCCGUGUGAUCUGGGGCCACUUGGGUCACCUCCCUGUGCCACAGUUUCUUCACCCAUGCCAUGUGCUUCCUUCUCUGGGCAUGGUGCCUCGUGCCUCCAUUUCCCGGGUGAACUGGUAGCAUUCUGGGGAGUAUGCUUCCUUUCUAAGCUGCUGUCUGUAGCUCCUUGCAGGCUUAGAUGUCACCACAGCUGUUGUGUUUCCAGGUAUCUGGGCCAGGGAGGGCUACAAAUGCAUCUUUAACAGCCCUGCUGAGGUGGAGCUGUCAUCACAGGACUAGUUCUUGGGGCUUCAAGGCGUGUUGGCCUCAAUCCUGGCCUGGCCUAGUCCCACGACAGGGGUUUGGCUGUGAUUAAGGAACCUGGGUAGGAGAAUGGAGGGAAGGUCAGUUUCCCUCUGCCCCUAAACACAAGAUACUGUAUUUUCUGGUAUAGCAUGCACUUCCUCCCUAAACUUGGAAGAGUUUCUGCCACAGACUCUCCCUGGGCAACCUUGGUCAUGCCACCUGUCUCAGUCUCCCCAGCUGCAGCCCUGUACUGCUGCAGCCUGGCUGGGUCUAGUCAGCCUCUUGGCACAGACAAAGCUUCAGUUAUGAGGAGGGAAUGGUGAUCCUCUCCUGGGACCUGCCUCCUCCCCUGUUUGGGGUCCACUCCAGUGCUCGCAGUACCCCCUGUCUCAUUUCCCCCUCUUAGCCCUGUCCAGGUCUCGGCUACCUGGCAUUGCUGGGCAAUGUCCCCCAGGCUGCCUGUUGCCUACUGCCUCCCUUGCACCCCUUUUGUGACCUGCUCCUUUUUCACUUGCACACCAGCUCCAUGGAGUCCUGUCUCCCUUCCCUGCUGCCCCAGGUUAGGCCCCUGGUCUAUAUUUUGUGCCCCUGCCCCCAACCUGCAGCUAAGGAGGCAGCAGGAAGGACCCCAUCUUGUUGGAUAUGGCAGGGUGUUUUUAUUUGGAGAAGUACAAGAGAAGGCAAAGCAAGUUCCUUUGUGCUAUAUGCCAGUUUAGUGGGAUAUUGUUCAUCACUAAACAUUACUAGGGAAAGCUGUGUACAGCAUAAAAUACACAGGCAAACUCACUGCCAUUGGGAGGGGGUGGGGUGGUGUCAGGCUCCCCAGGAUCUAUCCUCAUGGUUGAGGCAAGUUUCAGACUCUCACUCCUCUACCUUUUGUGUGGAGGAGUUUUAUGGGUUCAAAUGCCUAUUAGGCCUUGUUGCACAUUGCAUUUUGCACUGCUCAUUAGUGCUAGCUUCAACUUGCAGCAGUUGCACCUAAAGGCUAGGAAUUGUCUUCUGCCUGCCCCACACUGCACAGCUGGGACUUGCCACUCUGGGAGCUAGUGAGCAGGGGGAAGUUUUCCCUGCAGGGCUGGGGAGUCAGGACUGGUUUCUAUCCCUGCUCUAGGUGGGGGUGUGAGAGAUGGGUGGUGGUGUGGGGGGAGUAGUGAGAGAUGGAAAGGAAAUGGGGGUGAAAUGAAGUAAGUCGGCUAUUGAAAGAUAAAAUAAGUAAAGACAAGAAACAUUGAAAAAGAGGAAAAAUUAAUCUUGUGUGUUAUUUGAGGUGUGUGCAUUGUGAGGGCUUGUUGUGCUUCCUGGUGUGUCUGGGAGUGGUGAGGAAAGGCACUUCUGGAGAAGCUGCUAUGCCUGCCCCCAGGAAGGCAGUCUCGGCUCAUGGGGACCCAAUUGGGUGCCUACCCUGUUCCCUACUCCCCACUUCCCCAGACUCUGCUCCUGGACCCAUCUGUGACUUGGCUAGCUGGCAUCUACUUUUCAGGCUGUUUGCUUGGGGUUGCACCUCGGGGAGGGAAAGUCAUAACCUCAGGGGCAGGAACAGGAGCUGGCUUGGUACCAGAACUGCUUGCUGGGCAGUAGAGUUCAGGGGGUGGAAAGAUUGAGGCUGGAGGCUGCGAGUGAGAGAGGGACAGAGGGAAAAACCCUGUUUACUCCCUUUCAGCACUUGCUCUCUGCUGCUGUGUGACAAGAGGCUGGGCAAGAUGCGAAGAACACAUGUUGCCACUAAAGGGGACCACGUCCCACUGAGAGUGAGCUGAACAGCCUGGAGACUCGUAUAGCUCCUUUCAGCAGCAUUAUGUACCUGCACAUAUAAUAGCUUUGUGGGUAAUGGGCUGAAUAGUGGAAUGUCAAGACUUAAGAACAUAAGAAGUGCCAUUUACUGAGACCACAGGUCUGUUUUGACUUUCUGGUUCAUUAUCUUCUCCCUGAUUCCUGCUAAUGUCUCUCCAUUCUAAAGGGGUGAAGGCCUCUCUCCCUUUUUUUAAUGAUAAUAGAAGAACCAGGGAUCAACAAAUGAAACUAGCAGGGAUUAAGUUUAAAACAAAAAAAGUUCUUUUUCACUCUCUUACAUAGGAGGAGAGAUGAAACUAGUCCAAGGGGAUCAGCAGGUAUUGGGGGAGUCCCUGUUCCCCCGAGCACUACCGGGAGUGACUAGAAAUACCGGUCACAAGCUGGCAGAGGGUAGAUUCAGGCUAGACAUCAGGAGGCGCUACUUCACUGUCAGGGCAGCUAGGAUCUGGAACCAACUUCCAAGAGAAGUGGUGCUGGCUCCUACCCUGGGGGGCUUUAAGAGGAGGCUGGAUGAACACCUCGCCAGGGUCGUUUGACCCCAGUGCUCUUUCCUGCCAUGGCAGGGGGUCAGACUUGAUGAUCUAUCAAGGUCCCUUCCAACCCGACCACUAUGAAAGUGGCCAGGCCUAUUCAGUUUAGGAAAAAAGACGAUGGGGGACUCAGGGCUUGCAAACAAGUAUGAAAACAGAGUCAAUAGAGAUUUAUUAUUGACUGUCCCCAUACAAGAACCAGGAAUCAUAAAAGGAAUCUAGUAGGCUGCAAAUUUUAAAACGAAGAAAAGGAAGUUUUAUUUCCCCCAAUGUGUCACUAAAGUGUGGGGCUCAUUGCUACCAGAUGUAGUAGAAGUUGAGCAUUUCGCCCAAUUCACAAAGGGAUUGGAAGAAAGGGGCAUCUGUAGUUAUUGAGUAUGGGAGUGAGGGGCACAGCUUCUGAGUAAGCCACCUAGACUUUAAGUGCUGGAGGUGCAAGCGGGAGAGAAAGAGUUGGAAAAACUCUGGCCAGAUCCGGUUCACUCUGCGUUGCAGCAUCUGCUUUCUUCUCCUCUUGGGACAGAGGCCUUGGCAAGAUGGACUCAUGGUCUGACUCAGUAAAUGGCAGUUCCUAUGUUCUGAAAUUGAUGUUCCACUAUUCAGCCCAUUAUUACUCACAGGUCAUUAGCCAUGCUGUAUACAAUGCUGGCUGAAAAGAGCAGUAUUAGUCCCCAGGCUGUUCAGCUUGCGACAGUAUCAUCUAGUCCCCUCUAGUGGUUUCAUGUGUUCCUUGCAUCUUUCCCAAUCUCAUGUCACAGCAAGCAGGCUGCCCCUUCACUGAAGCACCCUUUUGCCCCAGCCAGCCAGGGCAACAUCUACACAUGCGCUGCUGCAGAGUUUUUUUUUCACUCCAGCCUGAUAGUAGUGCACAUGUAGACACAUGACACUUACUGUGCAGCUAAUUAUUCCAUUGCACAGUAAAUGUCUUGUGUAGUUGUGCCCUGUGAUUGCCUAGUGUGUAAACAUGAUUCACAAGAUGAGCUCAGAGAUUUCAACAAGGCAUCCAUAGUGUUAAAACUAUUUGCCCUGUUGUGGCUUUUUUGAGUUCUUUGCAAUGGGAAAAACUGCGCCACCCCCAUCCCUAUGCUGUCAAAAAAUGAGUGAAAACAAAGACCUGGUGUUUUCCAAGGAUUAUCCUUGUGUCUGUAACUUGAAUCUAGAAAAGUUGAGAACCACAACACCAUGGGCCUAUGUGCUUUAUUGAAAUGAAUACAUCAAGCUAUUGUUCAUGCCAUGCAUCAAGCACACCUGCCUCCCAUACUGAAGUUUUAUGAUGUAGUUGGGAAAAGAUUUAAGCUCUUCCAGAUGGUGCUUUUUGACUUCUCAACACUAUUAGAAGCUUUGCAGUGGAACACUCUUGAUGUGUUGCUUCUUGAUGGGAGUUCAUAAGGUCUCUGACAUAUGUCUCAGUACAUUUAAGGUAAUAUUUAAUUUCAUCUGAGGGGGCAAAUGCAAGGAAGUUAAGUUCAAAACACUGACCUUCUCCAAGGCCCCAUUGUCCGUCUCUGUGUUCCCACCAGGAGUUCCCAGGUACAAUUGUGAACAUCUAGUGCUUCCCAGGUGGGCUUGGAGCAGGCCCUAGUCCCUGUGCAGCUGUGGCUCUGCAGAGAGGCCGUGGCUCUCUGUGCAGGUUGUUUCCCAGAGAGUGCCGGGAGAUUUUACCUGUGCUUCCAGCAGGGCAGGAAUAGGAGGAUCCAGCCUGUCAAAGUAGACGGUGUCCAGCCCAAAUGAAAGUGGAGAUUGAGUCCUCGGCUCUGUCCCCAGAUUGGUCACCUCGUUGCCACUUAACAUGCUGCAAAGCAUUGGAAUUAUUGGGUGGGUGAGGUGGAAUGAAGCUUAACUGCAAACUGGUUAUUUGUAGAUAUGCCCAGGAAACAACUGGAGACUGGACGUACACCUUAUUUGACCCCAGCAGUCUUUCUUGCCCAGAGCAGGGUGGCUGGACCCAAUGCUCUCACAAGGUCCCUUCCAGCCCUAAAACUUCUGUAAAUCUGUGAGUUUAGCCAGAUUCACAAAGGGUUUGGACACAUUCUUGGAGGAAAGGGGUAUCCAUAGCUAUUGAGUAUGGAAGUGAGGGGUACAGCCUCUGAACCAGAGCUUCCUAGGUGUUAAAUCAGUUUUCAAACUUUUUCAGCCCUUUUGAGUUACAAAUUUAUUUGUGCUUGCCGCCACUGCCACAGCUGGACAAGAGCUGAGUGAAGUGGAGUAGAGUCGAUUUGGGCUGCCUGGUUGAGGCUUCCUGCCCUGCCACUUUUUACUCAGGAGUCCUACAGCAGCCACGUGUUCCCUGCCAGCCCAGCAGCAGCAGGGGUACAACACCCUGCUUGCCAUCUCCACUGCUGCCAGGCAGGCAGGGGGCACCUUGCCACAGCAGUGUGGCCAACGCAGGACCUCCAGAUGGAGGGCAGCAGGUUGGGGAGCCCUAAGCCUGCAGCAGGCAGCCUGCAUCCACACCUGCCCUGUGCACAAAUUGGGGGGGGGGGGGCACUUGCCCCCCCCCCAUGGAUGAGAUGCCCAUGACUCUGUCCUGCUUCACGCCCUGGCCCCUAUUACCUGUCAGCUCUGUCUGACUUGUGAAGGACUCACCCCCCCAUGGCCCCUUCCACCUCUGCCUGAACCAGAACUGAUCAGAAGGACUUUUUUGGGAGCUGCACCUAAACCCCUCUAGACAAGGUGAUAGGAGUGAAGCAACUCCCCUGGUCUCAUUUACAUGAGAGAUGGGACAGGCAUGCACCUUCAUUAGCAUUCAGGAUGGAGAACAGAGAUUCCAAGGCAAGGGCUGCACUGAACUCUGGGACCAGAGAAGCAGGGGAGCAUUGCAUGAUGGGGGAUCCUUGCUCCAAAUGCUAAUCAGCCCACAUCUGUGCACACCCAGCUCAGCAGUUAUCAAACCAAUUCUAGUAAUGACUCCUUUAUUGGUACCCAAAAUGCUGAAUCUGCCUGCCUGUAUUGUGAGCUCCCUCAGAGUAACGCCACCCAUAGCCAGGAGUGAGCAGUUCCUAUUAUCCAGCACAUGAGCCAUCAUUUCCCAUAAACAAACCUAGUGCUCUCCCUUGAGCCACUGCUAUUUCCCGACAAAAAGUACCCAAAGUUCAGUCUCUGUUCUGGGGCUUGGAUCCAAAUGCUGCCCCAGUUCCACCUGGGACUUUACCUUCUCCUUUCCUGCCUGAAUACCCUCACUGAUCAUGCUCUGCCGUCUCAAAGCACCUUGGACCCACAGCUGAACAGCUUGUUUGUGGAGCUUGCAGACACCUGGGAACCUGGGAGUGGUGAGACCCCAAGUCUCUCUCUCUCCCCCUCCUUUUUUAUUUAAGCCCACUUUCUAAACCUCAGACUUGGUUCAAUCCCUCUCUCUCCUCUCUCUCUUACUCCAGGCACAGCUUUCUAAACCUGACUUUUGCUGAUCCAACUUGAGUUAGACUUCCCCAAAUACCUAAUUGAAAUGGUGUAAUAUUGUAAUUUUUGUUUUUUUUUCCCCUUGUAUGGCUAUUACUACUAAUAUCAUCAUAAGUUUCAUAUACCUGGCAAUAAAAUAAUUUUUUAUAGUCAA